GAUGAACGCUGGCGGCGUGCCUAACACAUGCAAGUCGAGCGAGGGUUUGCUCAGUAUUGAGUAUUCUAAGUCUAGAAUGUUCAAUUCUGAGCAAAACCAAGCGGCGGACGGGUGAGUAACGCGUGGGUAACCUGCCCUAUACACAUGGAUAACAUACUGAAAAGUUUACUAAUACAUGAUAAUAUAUAUUUGCGGCAUCGCAGAUAUAUCAAAGUGUUAGCGGUAUAGGAUGGACCCGCGUCUGAUUAGCUAGUUGGUGAGAUAACUGCCCACCAAGGCGACGAUCAGUAGCCGACCUGAGAGGGUGAUCGGCCACAUUGGAACUGAGACACGGUCCAAACUCCUACGGGAGGCAGCAGUGGGGAAUAUUGCACAAUGGGCGAAAGCCUGAUGCAGCAACGCCGCGUGAACGAUGAAGGUCUUCGGAUCGUAAAGUUCUGUUGCAGGGGAAGAUAAUGACGGUACCCUGUGAGGAAGCCCCGGCUGACUACGUGCCAGCAGCCGCGGUAAUACGUAGGGGGCUAGCGUUAUCCGGAUUUACUGGGCGUAAAGGGUGCGUAGGUGGUCCUUCAAGUCGGUGGUUAAAGGCUACGGCUCAACCGUAGUAAGCCGCCGAAACUGGAGGACUUGAGUGCAGGAGAGGAAAGUGGAAUUCCCAGUGUAGCGGUGAAAUGCGUAGAUAUUGGGAGGAACACCAGUAGCGAAGGCGGCUUUCUGGACUGCAACUGACACUGAGGCACGAAAGCGUGGGUAGCAAACAGG
rnacentral:rRNA from 1 species